UGAGGAUUGCCAUAGGUAGGUACAGUGCAUUAGACAUUCAAGCCUCUGCAUGAGGUGUGGGAAACUGAGAGGGGAGAGAGGAUUAAGCAAAAAUCCCCACUCUGUGCCUUUGCUGAGAAUCCAGGGCUGUAAUUCAGGCCACUGUAAGGCUUUACAAGAUGGAUUGUAACUCAGGAUGUGAAAAGAUUGCCUCAUCAUCAUAGCUGGUUAAAAACAGCCGAUUUCACAUAUGACGUUAUCUGCAGUGCCCUGUGCAGAGGCCUGCGGGGAGUUUACAGAGACAUCUGGUGGCUGAGAAGGCUCCAAGAUGGCUCUGAAAGGCACCGAGAAAACCUAACGUAUCUGAGGGCCUAGCUUCUGGCCUGGCUUUUACGUGGUCAGCG